UUGAACGCUGGCGGCAUGCCUUACACAUGCAAGUCGAACGGCAGCACGGGUGCUUGCACCUGGUGGCGAGUGGCUAACGGGUGAGUAAUACAUCGGAACAUGUCCUGUAGUGGGGGAUAGCCCGGCGAAAGCCGGAUUAAUACCGCAUACGAUCUACGGAUGAAAGCGGGGGACCUUCGGGCCUCGCGCUAUAGGGUUGGCCGAUGGCUGAUUAGCUAGUUGGUGGGGUAAAGGCCUACCAAGGCGACGAUCAGUAGCUGGUCUGAGAGGACGACCAGCCACACUGGGACUGAGACACGGCCCAGACUCCUACGGGAGGCAGCAGUGGGGAAUUUUGGACAAUGGGCGAAAGCCUGAUCCAGCAAUGCCGCGUGUGUGAAGAAGGCCUUCGGGUUGUAAAGCACUUUUGUCCGGAAAGAAAUCCUUGGCCCUAAUACGGUCGGGGGAUGACGGUACCGGAAGAAUAAGCACCGGCUAACUACGUG
rnacentral:rRNA from 1 species